GAAUUAAGUAAAAAUUAUGGGCGGGGGACUGCUCCUGGUGGCGAGCGGCGGACGGGUGAGUAAUGCAUAGGAAUCUGCCCGGUAGUGGGGGAUAACGUGGGGAAACCCACGCUAAUACCGCAUACGUCCUACGGGAGAAAGCGGAGGCUCUUCGGACUUCGCGCUAUCGGAUGAGCCUAUGUCGGAUUAGCUGGUUGGUAAGGUAACGGCUUACCAAGGCGACGAUCCGUAGCUGGUCUGAGAGGAUGAUCAGCCACACUGGGACUGAGACACGGCCCAGACUCCUACGGGAGGCAGCAGUGGGGAAUAUUGGACAAUGGGCGAAAGCCUGAUCCAGCCAUGCCGCGUGUGUGAAGAAGGCUUUCGGGUUGUAAAGCACUUUCAGCGAGGAAGAAAGCCUUUGGGUUAUUCCCCCAGAGGAAGGACAUCACUCGCAGAAAAAAGCACCGGCUAACUCCGUGCCAGCAGCCCGCGGUAAUACGGAAGGGUGCGAGCGUUUAAUCCGAAUUACUGGGGCGUAAAAGCGGGCGGUAGGUGGCUUGGCCCCGCCGUUGGUGAAAACCCCCGGCUCCACCUGGGAACCGGCAUCCGGAACGGCCAGGCUAGAGUGCAGGAGAGGAAGGUAGAAUUCCCGGUGUAGCGGUGAAAUGCGUAGAGAUCGGGAGGAAUACCAGUGGCGAAGGCGGCCUUUCUGCCUGACCAUGCCACUGAGGUGCGAAAGCGUGGGUAGCAAACAGGAUUAGAUACCCUGGUAGUCCACGCCGUUAAACGAUGUCGACUAGCCGUUGGGACCUUUAAGGACUUAGUGGCGCAGUUAACGCGAUAAGUCGACCGCCUGGGGAGUACGGCCGCAAGGUAAAACUCAAAUGAAUUGACGGGGGCCCGCACAAGCGGUGGAGCAUGUGGUUUAAUUCGAUGCAACGCGAAGAACCUUACCUACCCUUGACAUCCUGCGAACCCGGAAGAGAUUCCGGGGUGCCUUCGGGAACGCAGUGACAGGUGCUGCAUGGCUGUCGUCAGCUCGUGUUGUGAAAUGUUGGGUUAAGUCCCGUAACGAGCGCAACCCUUGUCCUUAUUUGCCAGCGAUUCGGUCGGGAACUCUAAGGAGACUGCCGGUGACAAACCGGAGGAAGGUGGGGACGACGUCAAGUCAUCAUGGCCCUUACGGGUAGGGCUACACACGUGCUACAAUGGCCGGUACAAAGGGUUGCGAGACCGCGAGGUGGAGCGAAUCCCAGAAAGCCGGCCUCAGUCCGGAUCGGAGUCUGCAACUCGACUCCGUGAAGUCGGAAUCGCUAGUAAACGGAAACAGAAGGUAACAAUAAAGCG
rnacentral:rRNA from 1 species